UCUGAUCUAUGAUGACUUUUGAAAUUAAGUGGACUGCUGGAUGAAGCUUGCGGAUAUGGGACUGAGAUCAGGC